UCAUGGUUUACUUUAGGUUUAUUAAAGAUCACUUUGUAGUUUCUUGGAGGUUCUGCUGAUCAGUUCCACCUGCAGAAACAAACACAGCAGUCAGUCCCUGAACCAGCAGCUUCUUCUACACUCCAUGUUCCAGCUGCUUCUUACCUCCUUAGACCUUGGUUCCAGUUCCUGUUCCAGUUCCUGUUCCAGGUCCUUGGCUGGGAUCUCCUGGGUUCACCGGAGAGUAAAACGGGCCAAAGUCAUCUGGGGAGUAUUUAGAGUGGGAGAGGAGUUCUCUGGCUCGCUGGUAGCCGUUACUGGACUGGACGAUGUAGGACGUAGGACCACGAACAACCAAUGGGAAGGGGUCGGUGGAACUGAUCAGCAGAACCUCCAAGAAACUACGACGUAACCUUUAAUAAACCUUAAGUAAACAUGAAUCUGAGUAUCUGUGCUUGACUUUAACGCCAUUGAUUUAAACUGGUUUAGUUUGACUUUAAACAGCUGGUUUUCUUAAACUAUCAAGCAGCCGUUCCAAUAAUUCUGGCUGCUGUAGUUUAAAGUCUCUCAGGUGUUUCUCCUGCAUCUUAUCAGCUCAGAGGUAAGAAAAUGGAGGAUGACCUGGAACAAAUGACACCGUGUCUGGGACCAAAUGCAGCUAUAGUGAAGAACCUGACAGUAAAGUGACUCUAAAGCGUCUUGUGUAGAUGAGUAGUUCUACUGAAUUUGUUCUGACCAUUAAACCCUAGACCUCUCCUUCCUUGGUUGGAGUUCUGUUCUCAGCUGAUCUAGUAAACUGGAAUUGUGACCAAAGUAAACCAUGAAUCUGAGUUUGUCUGACUUGAACUUUACUGAAGGUUUAAAUGAGUUUUAACUCUUUAAACGGUUGGUUUUCUUCAAUUCUCCUGAAGUUAUCUUUAACUGGCUGCUCCUGUAGUUUAACAUUGCCAUGAAGGUAUUUGAGCUACAAAUCAGGAGAACAAGGGUGAAAACUCUGCUUUUCUGGGACCAAAUAAAGCAGUUCGCUUAAAAGUGAUGUUUUUCUGUGUAGAUUAAUGGACUAAAGUGGUUUUUCC
ensembl:lncRNA